GCCGGCUUCCGGGGCAGAGCGGCCUCCCCGCCCCGCCCCGCCCUCUGCGCAGGCUGCCGGGCCGGGCCUCCCCUGCGGCUCCGGGAGACAGCGUGUGUCAGGCCCUCUGCGGACUAGGCUGCCGCGUGGCUCAUAUAUCCUCUAAGCACAACAGGUGAAGAAAACUGACAGAGUGUAGAUUUGGCUUGUUGAAGCAGAAGGCAACGGUUUCACGAGGGUCUCUUAGGAAGACACCAAACUCUCUGACCCUAAACUCAUGAAGCAUUUGUCCAAAAUAACAUCAAGCUGCUUUCUGGGGUGAAGCUGCGGCUCUGGUCCUACUUCAGUAGGCUCAGUGCUUCAGAAUGCAAAAGUGGAAAAAUGGAAAUUUCGCUGUACUUUUGUCUCAGUGUUAAGGUUAACACUGUCACCUGCUAUGGUACUUCGAUGUCUACUGAACUGUUCCUGACAAAUAUCUUACAAAGGCAUCAUACAACAGACGUGUGAAAAGUAAUGUAAUCUGAGCCUAACUUGGAAAUAAGCAGGAAUCUGAAGUGACUGUUGAUCAGUUUUUAUUUUGUCUUACUUUACAAAACUUGUAUCUUAGAAAAUGGC